rnacentral:rRNA from 1 species
AACGAACGCUGGCGGCAGGCCUAACACAUGCAAGUCGAGCGCGCCCUUCGGGGUGAGCGGCGGACGGGUGAGUAACGCGUGGGAACGUGCCCUUUUCUACGGAAUAGCCUCGGGAAACUGAGAGUAAUACCGUAUACGCCCUUUGGGGGAAAGAUUUAUCGGAAAAGGAUCGGCCCGCGUUGGAUUAGGUAGUUGGUGGGGUAAUGGCCUACCAAGCCGACGAUCCAUAGCUGGUUUGAGAGGAUGAUCAGCCACACUGGGACUGAGACACGGCCCAGACUCCUACGGGAGGCAGCAGUGGGGAAUCUUAGACAAUGGGGGCAACCCUGAUCUAGCCAUGCCGCGUGAGUGAUGAAGGCCUUAGGGUUGUAAAGCUCUUUCAGCUGGGAAGAUAAUGACGGUACCAGCAGAAGAAGCCCCGGCUAACUCCGUGCCAGCAGCCGCGGUAAUACGGAGGGGGCUAGCGUUGUUCGGAAUUACUGGGCGUAAAGCGCACGUAGGCGGACCAGAAAGUUGGGGGUGAAAUCCCGGGGCUCAACCUCGGAACUGCCCUCAAAACUAUUGGUCUGGAGUUCGAGAGAGGUGAGUGGAAUUCCGAGUGUAGAGGUGAAAUUCGUAGAUAUUCGGAGGAACACCAGUGGCGAAGGCGGCUCACUGGCUCGAUACUGACGCUGAGGUGCGAAAGCGUGGGGAGCAAACAGG